rnacentral:lncRNA from 1 species
CCCCAUCCUCCCCGUGGGGCUGGCUCUUCCAGCGCUGUCCCCACAGAACCGGUGCUUGAAGCCCUGGUGGGACUGGGAGCAGGUGAUCACCUCGGGCUUGGAGCACCCCAUGUCCACGUUUUUGGUGCCGACCACGAUGUUGCAGCCAUAACACUGCAGUCCAGACACUAAACAAGAACCAGAAGAAACGCGGCUGGGUUUUUUCCGAGAGGGGAAAGACUUCAACUCCUUCCGAGCUGCUCUCUACCGACGGCCCCGCAGCGCUCCCUGCCUUGCCAAGUCGCAUUAAGGCAGAGCCCGGAGCUGCCCGUCACUUGUUUACCCAGUGGGCCCGAAAAUACAGCCUCAUCUCCCACUAGAGGGAUGCUGCUUCACAUUUCACCGGGAGGCAGCACAGGCUGGUCCAAGGAGGGGCAUCUACAGCACAGGAGAGGCAGCUGGCACCUGUGAGAAGUGCCCAAGGAAUGCAACUCAUGGAUUUAAAUCCCUUAAACCACCCACGGUGAUUCACUUGCCUGAAAACAAUGUGAUUGUAAUAAAUGUCUGACACAGGAAAGCCUGAAAGCCUGG